rnacentral:rRNA from 1 species
GACGAACGCUGGCGGCGUGCUUAACACAUGCAAGUCGAACGGAAAGGCCCUGCUUUUGUGGGGUGCUCGAGUGGCGAACGGGUGAGUAACACGUGAGUAACCUGCCCUUGACUUUGGGAUAACUUCAGGAAACUGGGGCUAAUACCGGAUAGGAGCUCCUGCUGCAUGGUGGGGGUUGGAAAGUUUCGGCGGUUGGGGAUGGACUCGCGGCUUAUCAGCUUGUUGGUGGGGUAGUGGCUUACCAAGGCUUUGACGGGUAGCCGGCCUGAGAGGGUGACCGGCCACAUUGGGACUGAGAUACGGCCCAGACUCCUACGGGGGGCAGCAGUGGGGAAUAUUGCACAAUGGGCGGAAGCCUGAUGCAGCAACGCCGCGUGCGGGAUGACGGCCUUCGGGUUGUAAACCGCUUUCGCCUGUGACGAAGCGUGAGUGACGGUAAUGGGUAAAGAAGCACCGGCUACCUACGU